rnacentral:rRNA from 1 species
AGAUUGAACGCUGGCGGCAUGCCUUACACAUGCAAGUCGAACGGCAGCACGGGAGCUUGCUCCUGGUGGCGAGUGGCGAACGGGUGAGUAAUAUAUCGGAACGUACCCUAGAGUGGGGGAUAACGCAGCGAAAGUUGCGCUAAUACCGCAUACGAUACUACGGAUGAAAGUGGGGGAUCGCAAGACCUCAUGCUCAUGGAGCGGCCAUAUCUGAUUAGCUAGUUGGUAGGUAAAGCCUACGAAGGCUUCGAUCAGUAGUCUGGUCUGAGAGGACGACCAGCCACGACGUGGAACUGAGACGACGGUCCAGACCUCCGUAA